rfam:HIV-1 isolate 00KE_KER2018 from Kenya, partial genome.
GGCCAGGAAGAAAGAAAAAAUAUAAAUUAAAACAUCUAGUAUAGGCAAGCAAAGAGCUGGACAGAUUUGCACUUAACCCUAGCC